AAUCUACCAACCAGAUAGAUAUUCAUAAUUGCAGAAGGUAGAUGCAUAAUUGGGUGGUAAUAAAUAAGUUGUUGUAUUCAUAUCUGCUUAUGAUUUCAAAAUUUCCAUGGAGUACCCUGGCCUGGCGUGGCUUGUAAGAGGAACAGUCUAGUUUUAUCUUGCUUUCUUAUUCUUCUAAAAAAAUAAAAUAAAAUAAAAUAAAAAAUCUACUGAGUAAAUAAGGGC
rnacentral:misc_RNA from 1 species